GAGGGUCUUUAAAUAGUUAAUUUAUUUAAAUUAGGUCAUGGGGAGGCCCUAAUCCAAUAUGACUAGUGUCUUUAUAAGAAGAGAAGAUUAGGACACAAACACACUCAGAGGAAAGACCAUGUGAAGACACAAGGAGGAGACAGCCAUCUACAAGCCAACAAGAGAGGCCUUAGAAGGGACCAACCCUGAUAACACCUUGUUCUCAGACCUCUAACAUCUGAAACUAUACGAAAAUAAAGUUCUGUGUUUAUGUCACUCGGUUUGUGGUACAUUGCUGUGGCAGCCCUAGUAACCAAUACACUGAGAGGUUGCACCUUGUGGAAGUGUAGGACAGCGUAGUGGAGCUCCUGCUCAUCUUCUGAGAUGGGGCCAGCCUCAGCAGGGUGGUCUGAAACUAUGCCUGUCUGGAACUGGUGCUGAUGACCCUUAA
rnacentral:lncRNA from 10 species